CAGCUAGGCACGCAACACUCUCUCUCUCUCUCUCACUGUGUUGCUCCCUUCAUUGAUCGCGAUGGCGUGGCAGUGUUUACAAGAUGGUCUGGCAGGACUUACUGGUGUAUGUCAUCCUGUACGCCUCCUUGUCGUGCCUCUAUCGUUUUGGUUUAACUGAGGAUCAGAGAAGAAUCUUCGAGAAGGUGUCAGUCCACUGCAGUCUCUUCCGGAACCUCAUACCCAUAUCAUUUGUCCUAGGUUUCUACGUCUCAUUAAUAGUCAGUAGAUGGUGGGGUAUGUACCUCAGCAUACCCUGGCCCGAUACCCUGUGUAUAUACUUAGCGAUCAUUCAGGGCACGGACGCAAGAGCUAGAAUGAUGAGGUGCACAGUUGUUAGGUAUGUGAACCUGGCCAUUGUGAUGACUUUCUCAAUGAUCGCUCCAGGGGUCAAGAAGAACUUCCCAGGUCUAGAGCAGAUGGUGGAUGCUGGUUACCUUACUGAUAACGAGAAGGCAAUACUAGAAUCCCUCGACCACAAGACCAAGGAACACAAAACCUACGUCCCCUUCUUGUGGGCAUGUAAGAUCGUGGAUAGGGCAAGACGUGAGGGCAAGAUAAGGGAUGAUAUUGCCCAGAAGACCGUCACGGAUGAGAUCAUUAAAGUCCGUGGUUAUUGUGGUGAACUUCUUGGGUGAUAUAUAAUAUACCUUUAGUGUAUACACAGGUAGUGACGAUCGCAGUGUAUACAUUCUUCCUCUUCAGCGUCGUUGGGGAGCAGUUUCUCGACCCUGGACAGAAACUACCCAACAACCUCAUCGAUCUCUACGUGCCAAUCUUCACUCUAUUACAAUUCUUCUUUUAUAUCGGCUGGUUAAAAGUGGCAGAGUCCCUCAUCAAUCCAUUUGGAGAAGAUGACCAUGACUUUGAGUUUGUACCUUUGGUGAAGAGACAUUUAGAGAUGUCGUACUUGUUAGCAGACGCCAGUCCUAACGAGCAGCCAACUCGGUACAGGAUUCUUACUGGGAUCGAACCCUGGAAACAGAGACGGAGAAGGUGGAACUUAGCAACGUCGCCUUUAUUCUGGCCAAUCAGUUCGUCCAACCAACUGAGGUAUAAGAAAUGAUGGCACUGUGUUGGCAGGUGUUGGAAAUACCUGUAGAAUCUUCCCCAGGUGUUGGCAGGUGUUGGAAAUACCUGUAGAAUCUUCCCGAGGUGUUGGCAGGUGUUGGAAAUGCCUGUAGAAUCUCCCAGGUGUUGGCAGGUGUUGAAAAUCCCUGUAGAAUCUUCCCCAGGUGUUGGCAGGUUGAAAAUCCCUGUAGAAUCUUCCCCAGGUGUUGGCAGGUGUUGAAAAUCCCUGUAGAAUCUUCCCCAGGUGUUGGCAGGUGUUGAAAAUACCUGUAGAAUCUUCCCAGGU
rnacentral:lncRNA from 1 species